UCCCAGUUAGAAAACAUUCACGUGUGUUAAUCCUGUUCUAGUUGCAGAACCUAUAAAAGUAAACCCUGCACCUGGUGGGGGGAGAAGAGGAAAGUUUGUUCCAGAAAGAACUGUCAGGGAU